rnacentral:rRNA from 1 species
ACUCCUACGGGAGGCAGCAGUGGGGAAUAUUGCACAAUGGGCGCAAGCCUGAUGCAGCCAUGCCGCGUGUAUGAAGAAGGCCUUCGGGUUGUAAAGUACUUUCAGCAGUGAGGAAGGUGGGUAUGUUAAUAGCAUACUCAUUUGACGUUAGCUGCAGAAGAAGCACCGGCUAACUCCGUGCCAGCAGCCGCGGUAAUACGGAGGGUGCGAGCGUUAAUCGGAAUUACUGGGCGUAAAGCGCAUGCAGGUGGUUUGUUAAGUCAGAUGUGAAAGCCCGGGGCUCAACCUCGGAAUUGCAUUUGAAACUGGCAAACUAGAGUACUGUAGAGGGGGUAGAAUUUCAGGUGUAGUCGGUAGAAAUAGCGUAGAGAUCUAGAAGGAAUACUGGUAGGCGAAGGCGGACCCCCUGGACAGAUACUGACACUCAGAUAGCGAAAGCGUGGGGAGCAAACAGGAUUAGAUACCCGUGUAAGGCUCUGAC